rnacentral:rRNA from 1 species
AGGGGUGCACAGGCGCGAAACCUCCGCAAUACACGAAAGUGUGACGGGGUUACCCAAAGUGUUCAUUAGAACUGUGGUAGGUGAGUAAUGUUCCCUACUAGAAAGGAGAGGGCAAGGCUGGUGCCAGCCGCCGCGGUAAAACCAGCUCUUCAAGUGGUCGGGAUAAUUAUUGGGCUUAAAGUGUCCGUAGCCGGUUUAGUAAGUUCCUGGUAAAAUCGGGUAGCUUAACUAUCUAUAUGCUAGGAAUACUACUAUACUAGAGGGCGGGAGAGGUCUGAGGUACUACAGGGGUAGGGGUGAAAUCUUAUAAUCCUUGUUGGACCACCAGUGGCGAAGGCGUCAGACUGGAACGCGCCUGACGGUGAGGGACGAAAGCCAGGGGAGCGAACCGGAUUAGAUACCCGGGUAGUCCUGGCCGUAAACGAUGCAUACUAGGUGAUGGCACGGCCAUGAGCCGUGUCAGUGCCGUAGGGAAACCGUUAAGUGUGCCGCCUGGGAAGUACGGUCGCAAGGCUAAAACUUAAAGGAAUUGGCGGGGGAGCACCACAAGGG